CAGGCGGACGUAUAAGUCAGUGGUGAAAGCCUACAGCUUAACUGUAGAACUGCCAUUGAUACUGUAUGUCUUGAAUUCGGUCGAAGUGGGCGGGAAUGUGUCAUGUAGCGGUGAAAUGCAUAGAUAUGACACAGAACACCGAUAGCGAAGGCAGCUCACUAGGCCUGAAUUGACGCUCAGGGACGAAAGCGUGGGGAGCGAACAGGAUUAGAUACCCUGGUAG
rnacentral:rRNA from 1 species